CAGCAUGUGUUGCCUCCUUCUAUGCGUCUCUAAAGCCUGGGGGGGCUAGAACCUUUGUGAAGAACCAGAAGUGAAGGGCCUCCUACACUUCUCUGUGGCUGAGUGAUCUGAAACCUUCAGACCUGGAAUUUUUGGCUGCAAAUACCAUCUUCAUAGCCAAAAUUCACAGCGAAAUUACAGUGCCUCCCACUCCGCUGGGCAGAUGAUAUGGAAGGUUGUUUCCGAGUAUAUGGAAGGCGACGUCCAUCCUUGCUCUAUCGCAAGGAUGAAAGCACAAUCGCCCAAAUUAUUCUGCCUCUCCUCGGUGCUAAGAAAAGGUCUCUGCUAUGCUCUCUGAUUUAUUAGGCCAAUUUGGCAUGACGUCUGCUCUGUGAGGCACUAGCUGGCCUGCACCAACAGGAGAGUCAUUUGGCAUGCCUCUCAGCUAGGAAUCUGAAGGUGGGAGGCUGUUUCCUUUCCUGCCUCGGCCGUUUGCUUCUGAACUCAUGGAGGCCAUGACAGGUGCUGACAGCCCAAAGGGGAGGCUCAGUUGUGUCAAGUAAAUAGGAUAAUCAAAAACUGCGGUUAAUAGGGGAUGACCUCUAUCUAACCGGCUCAGCGGCUCCAGGGAAGCAGAGUGACUGCCGUGAACUGGGAGGGAAGACCCACAGAGAAUCUGUCUCCAGCUGCUACUGACGAGGCCUGAGUGCUGUUGGAAUAGCAGUGGCCGCGGGGUGGAGGAGGCUCAGCUGGGGAGCUGGUCCUUCCCUUUCCCUCCCAGUGCCAGCCCCAUGGGGCCUGACAGCAAUCUGAACCCUCUGUGAUUGGAAUACAGGGCUGUUUACGAGGGCAAAAUGAGAAAAAAUGGACGUGGUCAGUUAACAUUUAAUUUUAAUAAUACCUGUUAUGUCUGAACAGUCAACAACACACAAGGAAAAGUCUCCUGUGAAUGUUUACACAGUGUGAACGCAUGCUUUCAGUAUGCAGUAGAGAAGUGCAUUCAGUUAACAACGCUUGAAAGAAAUCCCUUGUUAUAAAUUACACAAAGCAUAUAAAAAUAUUUCUCUGAAUGCAUAGAUUAAGACUUCAAACUCACCUAAGAGCAACCAUGCAGUUUCAUCCCACUGCCAGAGGCAAUGACCACAGAGGACUUCAGCAAAGGACAGGGCAUCGGGCAGAGCCAGGUGGAACCUGUCCCCCAUUUGGGACACCAAGACCCUUGGUCACUCUGCUUCUGCGCUCUGGAGCACUCACUCUUCUGUAGCCCACCUCCCAGCCAGGUCUCUACUGCUUCCGAGAAGCUCUCAAUUGGGGUGGCUGAUGGAGUUUGAACCCCAGUAAUUUAGACAUGAAUUAAUACUGAAUUUAUUUCUUCCAAGAUAGAACCACACUUAAUUGUAUCAGUAAACUAAGUUUUUCCAAAACAAAUUGGGGGGGGAAGGUUAGUACAUCUAGUAAAGUAGAUUCUGAUGGGUUGAAACACAGGGGAGGUUUCCUCAUUAAAGCACUUGGGAGAAGGGGGGGAUUGAGCAACCGCCACUCGGCUAUGCAAACACUCUACAAGAGGAAGUCACCAGCUGUACCAGGGGUGGGUAUGAUUAAUCCACUACACAGAGUGAUCCCACGAAGCUGGCCUUGAACACCUCAACUUCAUUCCAGCGUUCAGGUGGCAGCGGGAGGCCAUGACCUCAGCACAACAUCCUCUUCCACGACAUCUGCAUGUUCUCAUUCAACUGCAGUGUUCUAAUACAAUUAAGUUAAUAGUCAGGAAGUUAAGUUUCUUUGGAAACUAUAGGCACUAUGGGGAGAAAGCUUAAGACAGCAGGGAUCCUCAUCAACAGCUACUCCAGCCCCUGCUCUCCUGUUUGUCUGCAUGGGCCAGGUCCUAUUUCUCAAGUUAAGCUGUUUCAGCAAAACAGAGGCUUUCCAACUUUAACGAUGCCUAGAAGGGGAAGACUCUCUGAACUCUUGGGAAAGAUCCUUACGCCAUGCUCCGGAGUCUGAUUGGGUGCUCACAACUGACUUGUCCAGUGGACUGAGGGUGGUGAUAGGGGGAUUCCUAAGAUCCAAUAAUUUGUUUACAAAAGCAACAGAUUUCAGAGUUAUGUAAAAAUCCUAAUAAUUUCCAAAAUAACCUUUAUCUUUGAUACAAAAAUAAAGAUGCUAACUCCUUUAGUUCAGUUUCCUACAAUGACCGUUAAAACAGCAACAAAUUCAGGCUCAAAAACUGUUUUUCAUUUCUGGUGGGAAGUGAGAGUGGUGGGCGUGGACCAGCAGUAUUUGUGCUCUUCUUGAACGGUGCAAUUCAACAAGGAUGACAGGAACUGCUUCAGAGUAAAAAUGUAGUGGUUCCUUUAGAAAGCAUUAGAGAGCCCUCUAGUGACUGUGGACGGGAGGAGACGCAAAGAUGACUGUCCUGAGAAGGUGGCAGUCAUGAGUGGUCACAAAACAAAAGUGGGGGAGAGAGAGGGGAAGCUCUUUUGGUUAACAGCCUAUUUACAAUUAGGUAACUAUAUUUUUAAAUACUUUAAACCUGAGUAACAUUUAUAAAUACGCUAUGUGAAC